rnacentral:rRNA from 1 species
UACAGAGGGUGCAAGCGUUGUUCGGAAUUACUGGGCGUAAAGCGUGCGCAGGCGGUCAGUUAAGUCUGAUGUGAAAGCCCCGGGCUCAACCUGGGAAUGGCAUUGGAAACUGGCUUGCUAGAGUGUGGCAGAGGGGGGUGGAAUUCCGCGUGUAGCAGUGAAAUGCGUAGAGAUGCGGAGGAACACCGAUGGCGAAGGCAGCCCCCUGGGCCGACACUGACGCUCAGGCACGAAAGCGUGGGGAGCAAACAGG